GUUGGAGCAGUGGGCGGAAAAGAAGCAAUGGGGGACAUGAAGAGACUUCGCUUGUAAUUAUUUGGUUUGAACAUAUAAUUUGAGUUUUAAAACGUCUGUACUAAGUACGUGAACAUGGUCAGGAGACUUGCCCAAAGGGCCUCCGUGUGCACACCUGCCAAUGGGAUCUGUCUUCUAGUCCGGUUUGCCACAACCAAGAAAGUUUAAGCUCAACAAAGUGAAGACCAGACAGUUGAAUGGGAAAAUGAAAAGGAGUGUGAACUAUCCUACAGGAGACAAGAAAAAAUGAGGCAGAGGAAGUGCCUUCGAACAACGAGCAAGGAGCAAGGAAAGAAAGAAAAAAAUGAGAAUACCAGCUCGACAGUCCAGAAAUGCCUGGUAUUUGUGAGGUUUAAUUCCCAGUACUGGAGAAGUUUAAAUUAAAAUAUGUAUGUACAAGGAAGAAAUAAAAGC
rnacentral:lncRNA from 1 species